rnacentral:rRNA from 1 species
CCCCAGACUCCUACGGGAGGCAGCAGUGGGGAAUAUUGGGCAAUGGGCGCAAGCCUGACCCAGCAACGCCGCGUGAAGGAAGAAGGCUUUCGGGUUGUAAACUUCUUUUAAGAGGGAAGAGCAGAAGACGGUACCUCUUGAAUAAGCCACGGCUAACUACGUGCCAGCAGCCGCGGUAAUACGUAGGUGGCAAGCGUUGUCCGGAUUUACUGGGUGUAAAGGGCGUGCAGCCGGGAAGACAAGUCAGAUGUGAAAUCCCGCGGCUCAACCGCGGAACUGCAUUUGAAACUGUUUUUCUUGAGUACCGGAGAGGUCAUCGGAAUUCCUUGUGUAGCGGUGAAAUGCGUAGAUAUAAGGAAGAACACCAGUGGCGAAGGCGGCGUCCUGGUCUGCAACUGACACUGAGGCGCGAAAGCGUGGGGAGCAAACAGGAUUAGAUACCCCUGUACAC